rnacentral:rRNA from 1 species
AACCUCUGCAAUGUGAGAAAUCGCGACGGGGGGAUCCCAAGUGCCAUUCUUAACGGGAUGGCUUUUCUUAAGUGUAAAAAGCUUUUGGAAUAAGAGCUGGGCAAGACCGGUGCCAGCCGCCGCGGUAACACCGGCAGCUCUAGUGGUAGCUGUUUUUAUUGGGCCUAAAGCGUUCGUAGCCGGUUUGAUAAGUCACUGGUGAAAUCCUGUAGCUUAACUGUGGGAAUUGCUGGUGAUACUGUUGAACUUGAGGUCGGGAGAGGUUAGCGGUACUCCCAGGGUAGAGGUGAAAUUCUGUAAUCCUGGGAGGACCACCUGUGGCGAAGGCGGCUAACUGGAACGAACCUGACGGUGAGGGACGAAAGCUAGGGGCGCGAACCGGAUUAGAUACCCGGGUAGUCCUAGCCGUAAACGAUGCGGACUUGGUGUUGGGAUGGCUUUGAGCCGCUCCGGUGCCGAAGGGAAGCUGUUAAGUCCGCCGCCUGGGAAGUACGGUCGCAAGACUGAAACUUAAAGGAAUU